rnacentral:sRNA from 1 species
UAGGCAAGAGCUCCAACGAGUGGUGAAUUGAUGUAAGUAGCCGGCUCGGACUGCUCGUAAUCAGACCGUUCGUCUGGGAAGC